AAAAUUUCACAUGAACCCUAACAUUGAAAACAUAUUAUAUAGUUUUACAUUUUAAUGGUACACAUUUAUUUUAUAAGUUCAUGUUUAACAUUUGCUUAUUAUAAAAUCUUAAAAAUUUGUUGAGAAAAACAUUUUAAAACAAUGGUGAUGGAAGGAAGUUAUAAUCUUCAGCCUAAAAAUCAGUGGAUCUCUAUUACAUAUUUUAUACAAAUUUAUUUUAUAAGUUCAUGUUUAACAGUUGCUUAUUAUAAAAUCUUAAAAAUGACUAAUCUUUAGCAAUACUUCAGGUGGCAUUGGGUCUGGGCUAUGAAGUAUAAUCGAUCUGGGAUUAAGUCCUGGCAUCACCAGGUAGUGGCUAUGGAAGUUCGGCCAGUUGCUUAAACUUCCUAAGCUUCAUUUUUUGUUUCAUCUAUGAAAUGGAGAUAAUACAUAUUUCUUAGAGACCGCUAAUAAAUCAGAAUGUCAUUUACAUAUUAACCUACAAAGAACAAAAAUUUCUUCUUCCCCUCGGUCUCAUUCCGUUUCUUUCUAGGUACCUUUCUCUCUCCCUUUUCUCUUUCCUCUUUGUCACUGUCUUUUUCUCUCUCUAUGUAUCUUUGAUCUGUAUGCUAUUAAUUUAUAUUCUAUUAAGUGGCUGUUUCUAAGAGACAUCCUGUGUGGUGAACAUUCAUGUCUGCAAAGGACUGAGCUUGGCAUGGAAUGAUUUAAGUGAACAUACUCACUGGUUUGCUCUGGGGGAAUCUUUUGUCCUUGGGUUUGCUCAGAUCCUCUCUGGGUUCGUCCCAGAGGAUGCACGAGGCUGUUUUCUUCUAAUGUGCCCUUUAGAUCACAUGCUUCUCCCCCAAAGACAGCAUGAAACCAUGCAUCAAAAAUCAAGGGAAGUCUUGGAUGUUAGGGAGGUGAUGUUAGACUUCAAUGAGAUCCUAACAUUUCCUCAGGGGCUGUGACUGACAGCUUUCUACCUUCCGCAGGUAUCAGUACGGUUUGGGGCUUAAAUUUCUAGAUUUUUGAACAUAAUCAGAGGUCAGAGUAGUUUAUGUAUUGGAAAGUUGAUCCCACUUGCCCAAGCCUCUCGGAGGUAAUACCGAAUACCACACACCCCUCCCUGCUCUGAGAUCUUCCUGCCUUCCAGGAUUCCCCUAGUAGACCUGCCUCUCUGAUGAAUGCACACUCCCUAGAGUACCUCUGUACUCCG
rnacentral:lncRNA from 1 species